CUGACACGGCUGGGGGUACAGUUCUCCCACAACUGACGGAAUGGAUUGGGAAAGAAUCCUGGAGUGUCUCAGCACAAAGAACGUGGGAUACGCCCCACAUGGCUGGAUUUCCCAAUACGCACAAGCAGCUGGAUGCGGUUAAAGCAUGUAUCUCGGAGAAAAGACAGUUCGAUUAAAAUACGGUGAACCUAGUGCUCAAGUCACCCGACGCAGAAAUCGUGGCUUAACAUUCCCCCCCGUCCCACCAAAGGGGCUGGGAGGAAGGAAUCGGGUAACAAAAGAACACAAAUGAAAGAGAGGCCCUGGGGACACAGGGUGGAGGGAGAAAACGAAAGGGUGG